AGGUACGGGGUUGGACUGGCCUGGUUGCGUGGAAGAAGAGCAGACCGUCACCAGUAGGCAGCAGUUCUGUGAUGCACUGCGGUCAAUCCCUGACGUGCAGCAGAAGAAGAGGUGUAUGCUGACCGGGAAGGAUCCCAACAGCAGUCAAGGAGAGAAGAGGAGGAUGCGCAGCAAGCAGCAGAGCCCAGCCCAGCCCAGCCCAGCCCACCGCAGCCCAGCCCAACC